rnacentral:tRNA from 1 species
GCCGAAGUGGCGGAACGGCAGACGCGCUGCGUUCAGGGCGCAGUGCCCGUAACGGGCGUGGGGGUUCAAAUCCCCCCUUCGGCACCA